GCAGGCGUGGCGGAACUGGUAUACGCGCUAGCCUUAGGAGCUAGUGGAGCAAUCCAUGAGAGUCCGAGUCUCUCCGCCUGCACCA
rnacentral:tRNA from 2 species